AUGGGCACCCAGAUUCGUCAGAAUUAUUCCACUUAGACGAAGGCCACCAUCAACCAUGGGCUCAUCUUGAACUUGGAUCUAACACUUACCUCUCUCUGGGCUUCUAUUUCAAUCAAGAGGUUGUGGCUCUGGAGGGGGUGGGUCACUUCUGUGAAUUCACGGUGGAGAAGCUUAAGGGCGCUCAGCAUCUCUUAAAGAUUCAAAACUGUCGCCGUGUCCCUACCCUCUUUCAGGAGUGCAGAAGCUGUCCCAAGAUGAAUGGGAUAAAACUCUAGACAAUAAGGAAACUGCCACAGCCCUGGAGAAGAACCUGAGCCAGGCCUUUUUGGACCUGCCUGCCCUGGGUUCUGCUCGCACAGACCUCCAUGCCUGUGACUUCCUAGAGAGUGGCUUCCCAGAGGAGCAACUGAAACUCAUCAAGUAG
rnacentral:lncRNA from 1 species